CCCGUGAAGGGACGAGCCUCCACACCGGCAUCCAAUUGGGUUUUUUAUGAGGAGACCACAGAAUUUAAGUGACCUUAGGAGACCCGGGACCUGCAUUGUGUCGCCAGCAUCUAAAGCCGAGUCUAGCUUUUUGUAGUUACUUGCACGAUAAAACAGUUGGGCAGUAGAUGAAUGCAGGAGAGAGAAAAAAGUUACUUGGACGGACCUCUGGGAUGCCGGAACACAAUGCCAUCUGAGAAGGCUCCUGGAGAAAAUGAUGUUUAAGGAAAAUGCCUGCAGGAGUUAUCUCUAACUAAUGCUUUCUGCCUCCCUAGUAAAGUGCUGGUGCAACCCUCAUUGGUGAGCCAGGAAGAGCGAAGUGAUGCUAAACAACUCCAGAUGGUUUCUCGGGAGCCCCGUGCUGAUGGCAAGCCACUGCUCUUGUGUCUCGUGCCCACCUGGAAGCCAGCCCUGAGAGGGAAGUGUCUGUGUGGGCUGCUAACCACAGGAAGCCUACGGAGAGGCUGACUCAUCAAAACAUCCCCUGGGCAAGAAGCCUCCUGGACCCCCUCAGCGCUGAGCAUAAAAUUAUACUAAGUGGGACCAUCAGCCCGGAAGAGAAUCCAAUCAACACGCUGUGUUCCACGUGGAUGCUCUUGACAAGGGACAAUAAAAGCAUGGUAGCAUUUCUACAGCACUUACUACACGCAAAUUACUUGGCCCCUGGCCCUGGCAGAGCUUCUCAGCCACAACCUAACACUUCCACUGCUUGGAGUCUAUCAUCUAGGCCAGUGAGCAGGGACCUAGGCAAGUAAGAUGUGAGCACACAUCUAUGAAUAAAACUGAGUGACUCAUAAAUCUCUGGAAAUCAGAAUUAUGAGGCCAUCGGGUGACUUGUCCUUUUUCCCAGAAAUCUCAUAGUAU